GGUGACAGCCCCGUACACAAAAGCGCAUGUGUUGUGAGCUCGAUGAGUAGGGCGGGACACGUGGUAUCCUGUCUGAAUAUGGGGGGACCAUCCUCCAAGGCUAAAUACUCCUGACUGACCGAUAGUGAACCAGUACCGUGAGGGAAAGGCGAAAAGAACCCCGGCGAGGGGAGUGAAAAAGAACCUGAAACCGUGUACGUACAAGCAGUGGGAGCACAGGUUUACCUGUGUGACUGCGUACCUUUUGUAUAAUGGGUCAGCGACUUAUAUUCUGUAGCAAGGUUAACCGUAUAGGGGAGCCGGAGGGAAACCGAGUCUUAAUUGGGCGUUAAGUUGCAGGGUAUAGACCCGAAACCCGGUGAUCUAGCCAUGGGCAGGUUGAAGGUUGGGUAACACUAACUGGAGGACCGAACCGACUAAUGUUGAAAAAUUAGCGGAUGACCUGUGGCUGGGGGUGAAAGGCCAAUCAAACCGGGAGAUAGCUGGUUCUCCCCGAAAGCUAUUUAGGUAGCGCCUCGUGAAUUCAUCUCCGGGGGUAGAGCACUGUUUCGGCUAGGGGGUCAUCCCGACUUACCAACCCGAUGCAAACUGCGAAUACCGGAGAAUGUUAUCACGGGAGACACACGGCGGGUGCUAACGUCCGUCGUGAAGAGGGAAACAACCCAGACCGCCAGCUAAGGUCCCAAAGUCAUGGUUAAGUGGGAAACGAUGUGGGAAGGCCCAGACAGCCAGGAUGUUGGCUUAGAAGCAGCCAUCAUUUAAAGAAAGCGUAAUAGCUCACUGGUCGAGUCGGCCUGCGCGGAAGAUGUAACGGGGCUAAACCAUGCACCGAAGCUGCGGCAGCGAACGUAUCACUUAAAGCGAUUCAGCGGGUUACGAUUGACGGAGCGAAGCGACGUCAAAGCGUAUACAAAGUCGAGUCGGUUUAAGGAUACGUUCGUUGGGUAGGGGAGCGUUCUGUAAGCCUGCGAAGGUGGCCUGUGAGGGUUGCUGGAGGUAUCAGAAGUGCGAAUGCUGACAUAAGUAACGAUAAAGCGGGUGAAAAGCCCGCUCGCCGGAAGACCAAGGGUUCCUGUCCAACGUUAAUCGGGGCAGGGUGAGUCGACCCCUAAGGCGAGGCCGAAAGGCGUAGUCGAUGGGAAACGGGUUAAUAUUCCCGUACUUGGUGUUACUGCGAAGGGGGGACGGAGAAGGCUAUGUUGGCCGGGCGACGGUUGUCCCGGUUUAAGCGUGUAGGCUGGUUUUCCAGGCAAAUCCGGAAAAUCAAGGCUGAGGCGUGACGACGAGGCACUACGGUGCUGAAGCAACAAAUGCCCUGCUUCCAGGAAAAGCCUCUAAGCAUCAGGUAACACGAAAUCGUACCCCAAACCGACACAGGUGGUCAGGUAGAGAAUACCAAGGCGCUUGAGAGAACUCGGGUGAAGGAACUAGGCAAAAUGGUGCCGUAACUUCGGGAGAAGGCACGCUGACACGUAGGUGAAGUGAUUUACUCA
rnacentral:rRNA from 1 species